rnacentral:rRNA from 1 species
AGAGUUUGAUCAUGGCUCAGGAUGAACGCUGGCGGUAUGCCUAACACAUGCAAGUCGAACGAUGUCUUCGGACAUAGUGGCGGACGGGUGAGUAACGCGUGAGAAUCUGCCUCUAGGAUGGGGAUAACGGUUGGAAACGACCGCUAACACCCAAUAUGCCGUAAGGUGAAGAAUUUAUUGCCUGGAGAGGAGCUCGCGUCUGAUUAGCUAGUUGGUGGGGUAAGAGCUCACCAAGGCCUCGAUCAGUAGCUGGUCUGAGAGGAUGAGCAGCCACACUGGGACUGAGACACGGCCCAGACUCCUACGGGAGGCAGCAGUGGGGAAUUUUCCGCAAUGGGCGAAAGCCUGACGGAGCAAUACCGCGUGAGGGAGGAAUGCCUUUGGGUUGUAAACCUCUUUUCUCAGGGAAGAAGAUCUGACGGUACCUGAGGAAUAAGUAUCGGCUAACUCCGUGCCAGCAGCCGCGGUAAUACGGAGGAUGCAAGCGUUAUCCGGAAUCAUUGGGCGUAAAGCGUCCGCAGGUGGUUUCCAAAGUCUGCUGUUAAAGACUGGAGCUCAACUCCGGAACGGCGGUGGAAACUUGGAAACUAGAGUUCGGUAGGGGUAGCAGGAAUUCCCAGUGUAGCGGUGAAAUGCGUAGAUAUUGGGAAGAACAUCGGUGGCGAAGGCGUGCUACUGGACCGUAACUGACACUCAGGGACGAAAGCUAGGGGAGCGAAAGGGAUUAGAUACCCCUGUAGUCCUAGCUGUAAACGAUGGAAACUAGGUGUGGCUUGUAUCGACCC